UACGUAGGGGGCAAGCGUUGUCCGGAUUUAUUGGGCGUAAAGAGCGUGUAGGCGGCCAAGCAGGUCCGCUGUGAAAACUCGAGGCUCAACCUCGAGACGUCGGUGGAAACCGUUUGGCUAGAGUCCGGAAGAGGAGAGUGGAAUUCCCGGUGUAGCGGUGAAAUGCGCAGAUAUCGGGAAGAACACCCGUGGCGAAGGCGGGACUCUGGGCCGAUACUGACGCUGAGGAGCGAAAGCGUGGGGAGCAAACAGG
rnacentral:rRNA from 1 species